rnacentral:rRNA from 1 species
GGCAGUCGCUGUGCAUGACUUGCAGGGCACGCACACCAGUUUCAGCGGGUGCAGGCCGAGCUCUCAUCAGCGGUGGUUUGGGUUCAGUAAGAGCUUCGGACGGCGGCGGCGCCUGCCGAACGGGUUUAGGUCGACAAAUGCCGCUCGACGCCAUCGAGGCCGGCCACUCGUGGCCUUAUUCGACCCGAGCUCAAGGACGAACUACAGCAGCUGUCCAAAGGCGAGGCGCUCCUCAAACGGCUGUCGAAUCUAGGAGAUCUAGGCCAGGAGACCGCCGCGAGGGCGCUCGAGCAAAGCGCAGACGACGAGGCCGGAUGAGUUUACGGUCGAGUCCAACGCCCGUCUUUUUUAGCGGCCGCUGCGGUUAGAAGAGGCUGUUCCAGACGACUUAGCUGCCUGUCCCACUUGGGGCUCCGAGGCCCAAACUGUUUCACCCCUCCCUUCGGGCUACGUCUCUUGUCGUCCAGCACAUCCACGCUUACGGGGCGAAACUAUACCGAGGUUGCACGCGGACUCUUGUCAACUGUGUAUUGUCUUGUAUUACUCUCGGUGUUAGUAAAGUACAAAGAGUGCUAGUAUCACUUCCACGUGACCGGCAGAGUGUUUGUGUAGCUACAAGUGUGCUUUCUGGACUAAUCGGUCGAUUCCCUUUUGUUACAGUUGAAACCAUUCCACAUAUCGUAUUAACCUUCAAAGAAACCGAGCCAACUCUUCCAUGUCAAGUGGUUCUCCUGCGAGUCCUUGUAUACGCCGUUCUAUUCGGCAUCCGUUCGACUGAACAUGAGUUCUUUAUACAUGAGUCUUAGUUUACACUAUUAACACAAAAUUUAAGACAUUGUACAUGAGACUGCCAAAAGACCACACAAAGUCACUCGUGACGGGGUGCGAACAAGGAGUACCCUGCACUCCGACAUGGAACGG